AGCAGCCGCGGUAAUUCCAGCUCCAAUAGCGUAUAUUAAAGUUGUUGCAGUUAAAAAGCUCGUAGUUGAAUUUCGGGAUCAAUUUGCUGGUCGUGCCUUCGGUACGCACUGGUAUUAUUGGUUUCUCCUUUCUGAUGAAUCGCGAUGUCAUUAAUUUGGUGUCGUGGGGAAUCAGGACUGUUACUUUGAAAAAAUUAGAGUGUUUAAAGCAGGCUCACGCUUGAAUACAUUAGCAUGGAAUAAUGAAAUAGGACGUUUGAUUCUAUUUUGUUGGUUUCUAGGAUCGACGUAAUGAUUAAUAGGGAUAGUUGGGGGCAUUAGUAUUCAAUUGUCAGAGGUGAAAUUCUUGGAUUUAUUGAAGACUAACUACUGCGAAAGCAUUUGCCAAGGAUGUUUUCAUUAAUCAAGAACGAAAGUUAGGGGAUCGAAGACGAUCAGAUACCGUCGUAGUCUUAACCAUAAACUAUGCCGACUAGGGAUCGGAUGAUGUAAUUUUUAAUGA
rnacentral:rRNA from 1 species